rnacentral:ncRNA from 1 species
UCUCCGAAAAGGUAACCCCUGUGAAAAUAGGGGGCACAAAGCUUUCGAAUCCUUUAAGGGAUGGUCGAGCUUCCGAA